UCCUUGGGGGCUCAGAGGGUAAAGCAUCUGCCUGCAAUGCAGGAGACCCGGGUUCGAUCCCUGGGUCGGGAA
rnacentral:tRNA from 1 species